GGAAACCAGAAAAGACUGCUCCCUGCACACACAUCUCGGGCGCCAGAGGAAAAAGCCAAAGACCAUCUGGAACCCUGGUGCACUGAAGCUCCCGGAAGGGGCGGCACAGGUCUUCCUGGUUGCUGCCGCUGCAGAGAGCCCCUGGGCAGCACCCCACGAGCGAACCUGAGCCUCGGGACCACAGGUCUCUGAUGGACUAGAGGCGCCAGAGUUCUGCUCCCCUCCCCGGAGAGCGCUGGGUCUCAGGAGUGCUGGAGGUGUGCGAGAAUACCGAAGAUAAAGUCCAUAGAACUCAAAAAGGUCAACAAGCUGAGGGACGCAAGGGCCCUCAGUGGCACUUGGGAGGGAGAAGAAAGCAACCAUAAGGGGGCUGGAGAGAUGGCUCAGCGGUUAAGAGCACCCGACUACUCUUCCAGUGGUCCUGAGUUCAAUUCCCAGCAACCACAUGGUGGCUCACAACCAUCUGUAAGGAGAUCUGAUGCCCUCUUCUGGUCCAACUGUGCAAGGGUAGCACAUCCCACAGUGAUCUGGGACUUCCAACAUCAAUCAUCAGUCAAGAAAAUUCCCUACAGACCAAGCUGAAAGGAAGUGUUUUUUCUUAUUAUUGCUUUCAAACAUAUGAUUAAGUGAAAUAAAAUUAAAAAGAUAUUUUCCCUGUUUUCCCUCUUUCUUUCCGGAACUCCGAAUAAGUGCCGCCUCCCUUUAGCCCUCAAAUAUCAUUCUUCCUGAUAAUUGAGAGACUUUAUUCUUUUGGUUUAAUUAUUAUUCGUGUGUGUGUGUGU
ensembl:lncRNA